UACGGGGGGGGGCAAGCGUUGUUCGGAAUUACUGGGCGUAAAGGGCUCGUAGGUGGCCAACUAAGUCGGACGUGAAAUCCCUCAGCUUAACUGGGGAACUGCGUCUGAUACUGGAUGGCUUGAGUUUGGGAGAGGGAUGCGGAAUUCCAGGUGUAGCGGUGAAAUGCGUAGAUAUCUGGAGGAACACCGGUGGCGAAGGCGGCAUCCUGGACCAACACUGACACUGAUGAGCAAGACGCAGGGGAGCAAACGGG
rnacentral:rRNA from 1 species